rnacentral:lncRNA from 1 species
AUCAAUCUUUGGGUCAUCAGUCUCCCCCUUUUUGAUGAUGACAAAACUUGGAGUAUAUGCAAUAUAAAAUAUAUUGUGUUCUAGAAGUAGUGCAUAGCUAAGUUGCAUGAAGUAGAAAACAUAUAUAUUUAAAACAUACUUCAUGAUAAUGCUUUAGAUUUAAUCAGCUUAACACAAUCAACAUAUUUCAAUUUAAGCUGAUUUGUAUUCAAUUCAAAAUAUAAAGCAUUAUGAGCAUAU